rnacentral:rRNA from 1 species
UACGUAGGGAGCAAGCGUUGUCCGGAAUCAUUGGGCGUAAAGCGCGCGUAGGUGGCUUCGUAAGUCCGCUGUGAAAGUCAAAGGCUCAACCUUUGAAAGCCGGUGGAUACUGUGAAGCUAGAGUACGGAAGAGGCGAGUGGAAUUCCUGGUGUAGCGGCGGAAUGCGCAGAUAUCAGGAGGAACACCAAUAGCGAAGGCAGCUCGCUGGGACGUUACUGACACUGAGGCGCGAAAGCGUGGGGAGCGAACAGG